rnacentral:rRNA from 1 species
GACGAACGCUGGCGGCGUGCUUAACACAUGCAAGUCGAACGGAAAGGCCCUGCUUUUGUGGGGUGCUCGAGUGGCGAACGGGUGAGUAACACGUGAGUAACCUGCCCUUGACUUUGGGAUAACUUCAGGAAACUGGGGCUAAUACCGGAUAGGAGCUCCUGCUGCAUGGUGGGGGUUGGAAAGUUUCGGCGGUUGGGGAUGGACUCGCGGCUUAUCAGCUUGUUGGUGGGGUAGUGGCUUACCAAGGCUUUGACGGGUAGCCGGCCUGAGAGGGUGACCGGCCACAUUGGGACUGAGAUACGGCCCAGACUCCUACGGGAGGCAGCAGUGGGGAAUAUUGCACAAUGGGCGGAAGCCUGAUGCAGCAACGCUGCGUGCGGGAUGACGGCCUUCGGGUUGUAAACCGCUUUCGCCUGUGGCGAAGCGUGAGUGACGGUAAUGGGUAAAGAAGCACCGGCUAACUACGUG